AACCUGACAGAACAGAAUCUGUCUUCUUCCUGAAAAGAUCUGUUCUCCCAGUUCCUUCCUUUAUCCUGUGUGGCUGGCCCCAGCUCUUCAGAGAAAAUAACUGGGAAGCUCAAAAAGAUGGCUAUAGUUUUCUGCUCGUCUUCAGGACACCGGCAAAAAGACACCAGUGAAGCAGAAACAACCCACUAAGAAGGCAAUUCUGACAUCUACACUAGGAAAGAAAAAAGGUCCAAAUCCCAAAGCCUCAGACAGCCUGCAAACAGCAACAGAUUUUCCUGCGAACAGAGCCACUGGCCAGGAAUGGGAGGGAGCCCCAAGUCCUAUAGUUGGCUAGUGGUUCUCCUCCACUUAAAAGCAAAACUUGUGCUGUUUACCAGCUCAGAGUGUGCGGAGAUCUAAUUCAGCCCAGUGCGGCUCCAUCAACAGCAGGAGAGCCCGCACCCUAUGGGUAUAGAAACACCUGGGCCUGUGUUACCAGCCUACACCCUGAGAUUGUGGAGAAAUGCAGCACCAGAUCUAAGUCGAGCUGAAUAAUAAGACAGUUACUUCCCCACGACAAUGACAACCAAUACUCAAUACGGAGAUAGACGUCUGGGCGUGAAAAAUAGAUUUUGCGGAGAAGCUUUUCUGUGUCAGGCACAGCGCUAAGCAUAAGCAUGGUCUCAAGUACUCCCGAGGAUUUGUAAGGGUCACCCUAUUGUACUCAUUUUACAGAUGAGAAAACUGAGGCUCAGAGAGGUUCUACACCUUGCCAAGAUCAUCCAGCUCUUUUUUACUCCUUUGCUACUACCGCCAAGAGUUGACAUUUGUUGAGCCCUCUGUGUCGGGGACUGUUCUAGUAAUGUGUUAAUUUCCUUCAAUCAUCUUUAUAUCUCGUAGAGUUGGGUAGUAGGCUUAGCCCCAUUUUACAGAUGAGGAAACCGCCCAGAGAGAUUAAGUAGUAUACCCAAGAUCACACAGUUAGAAAGCGACAGGGGACAAAUUUGAGACCUUACCCAUGGUCUGGCACUGCUCCUCACUCAUAUAAUGUGUCUGGCAUUUCAAAUACAGCAUCCACAGGGAAGCUCGACUCGAGGCAUUCUGGAAAGAGCAGUAGGCUCGGAGUCCGAAUUUAGCUGUAAUCUUUCCUUUCGGUGCGAGCUGACUGUGCACCGUUGGGCCCAAUACUUUAUUAACAUCUCUGAUCCUGCUUUGCGUCGGGGAAAGGAGGCUUGCUAUGAGGCUUCAGGGUGAUUAUGUUUGUGGAAGUGCUUUGCUAGCUGCCUGGUGGUGUAUCUGAGAGAGGGCCCCCCGCCCAGUCUAACCCAGGUCGCAGACACAGGUACUCUCCACGCUUGGGUACUGCUGCGUUGGCAGAUUUGGGGGAACAGGGGUUUGAAUCCCACCCCCCCCCCCCCAGAAUUCUUCUUGCCUCCGUUUUCUCUCCAGUUUCUCUAUUUUAACACUUUCAAAUGUCAGUCUUGCCAGGCCUGGCAUUAGUGAGAGGCUGUGGUCGAUAAUGUGGGUGCAAAUAUAUGAGAUGAGAGAAUAUGUUUGAACUCAGGCACUGUUUUAGCAAAAUGUUGCUUUCUGUUUCAGGCAGGGUAGGGGGAAAAAAAACGUUUAAAAGUCCCAUUAAGAAGCCUCAUAGGCUCCUCAGACAUCAAAUAACUCUCGCAAAACAACAUUUUAAUGAUUUAAGUGUAAAUGAAUCAGAAACACAUGGAUUGCAUUUCUCUUGGAAUACCCCAGGGUUUUUAAACCGAAGGAGAAAGAACUUGGCUCAAAGCACAGUGUGCUAUGCAGAGGGCCCUGCCCGUCACAGACAUUCCCUCUAUUCAUGUGGCAGCAGGACUGGCCCUCUCCUAAUUUAGGGCACAUACAGGAAUAUGCAAUCAUUUGUUCUGGGCACAGAGGGAAGAGCUUGGGAGAGAAAGCCAUCAGCGUCUCCUUGUAAGUGUCAUAGAGCACUUGAGCUUCCCAGAAUAAUUUCCUGGCCAGAUUUUUUCAAGGCUGCCAAUGUUCAAUGGGAGGCAUUUGAAAUACGUUCUAAGCCAAAGUUCUGCCAAUAGACAGCAGAUCUGAUAUGUGUUUCCCUGGGAGUUCGCCAAGGCUCAGAUGGAAUCUGCAUGAAAACAGGAACUGUGUGUGGCUGGCUCAGUGAAUGAUCUGGGUGAGAUUCAGGGAAGUUUCCCAUUAGACUAGAAGACAUUGGUGAUGUUGUCCUGACCUUUUGAUUAAAAAAAAAAAAAAACAAACUCUCUGAAGUAUCAUUAACAGACCAUGA